CAUUACCGAGUUUACAACUCCCAAACCCCUGUGAACAUACCAAUUGUUGCCUCGGCGGAUCAGCCCGCUCCCGGUAAAACGGGACGGCCCGCCAGAGGACCCCUAAACUCUGUUUCUAUAUGUAACUUCUGAGUAAAACCAUAAAUAAAUCAAAACUUUCAACAACGGAUCUCUUGGUUCUGGCAUCGAUGAAGAACGCAGCAAAAUGCGAUAAGUAAUGUGAAUUGCAGAAUUCAGUGAAUCAUCGAAUCUUUGAACGCACAUUGCGCCCGCCAGUAUUCUGGCGGGCAUGCCUGUUCGAGCGUCAUUUCAACCCUCAAGCCCAGCUUGGUGUUGGGACUCGCGAGUCAAAUCGCGUUCCCCAAAUUGAUUGGCGGUCACGUCGAGCUUCCAUAGCGUAGUAGUAAAACCCUCGUUACUGGUAAUCGUCGCGGCCACGCCGUUAAACCCCAACUUCUGAAUGUUGACCUCGGAUCAGGUAGGAAUACCCGCUGAACUUAAGCAU
rnacentral:rRNA from 1 species